CGACUUUUCUACCGCAUCUUG
rnacentral:miRNA from 1 species